UACGUAGGGUGCGAGCGUUAAUCGGAAUUACUGGGCGUAAAGCGCACGUAGGCGGCUUUGUAAGUUAGAGGUGAAAGCCCAGGGCUCAACCCUGGAAUUGCCUUUAAGACUGCAUCGCUAGAAUUGUGGAGAGGUAAGUGGAAUUCCGAGUGUAGAGGUGAAAUUCGUAGAUAUUCGGAAGAACACCAGUGGCGAAGGCGACUUACUGGACACAUAUUGACGCUGAGGUGCGAAAGCGUGGGGAGCAAACAGG
rnacentral:rRNA from 1 species